AUUGAACGCUGGCGGCAUGCUUUACACAUGCAAGUCGAACGGUAACAGGCCGCAAGGUGCUGACGAGUGGCGAACGGGUGAGUAAUGCAUCGGAACGUGCCCAGUCGUGGGGGAUAACUACUCGAAAGAGUAGCUAAUACCGCAUACGAUCUAUGGAUGAAAGCGGGGGACCGUAAGGCCUCGCGCGAUUGGAGCGGCCGAUGUCAGAUUAGGUAGUUGGUGGGGUAAAGGCUCACCAAGCCAACGAUCUGUAGCUGGUCUGAGAGGACGACCAGCCACACGGGGAAGGAGCACAGGCCAAGACGCAAAGGGGAGGCAGAAGGGGGGAAUUUGGAAAAAGGGGCGAAAGCCAGAACAAGAAAUGCGGGGGGAAGGAGGAAGGCUUGGGGGUUGUAAACGGUUUUUGAAGGAAAGGAAACGGUUGGGAUAAAAACCGGGGGUAAAUGACGUUACAAAAAAAAAAAGAACCGGGAAACUACGGG
rnacentral:rRNA from 1 species